rnacentral:rRNA from 1 species
UACAGAGGUGGCAAGCGUUGUUCGGAAUUACUGGGCGUAAAGGGCGCGUAGGCGGUUCGUUAAGUCCUGUGUGAAAUCCCCCGGCUCAACCUGGGGAACUGCACAGGAAACUAGCGGGCUUGAGUUCGGGAGAGGGAAGCGGAAUUCCGGGUGUAGCGGUGAAAUGCGUAGAUAUCCGGAGGAACACCAGUGGCGAAGGCGACUCUUGGCCUGUAACUGACGCUGACGGCGCGAAAGCGUGGGAGCAACAGGG